rnacentral:rRNA from 1 species
CAUAGGUUAAUGAGGCGAACCGGGGGAACUGAAACAUCUAAGUACCCCGAGGAAAAGAAAUCAACCGAGAUUCCCCCAGUAGCGGCGAGCGAACGGGGAGGAGCCCAGAGCCUGAAUCAGUGUGUGUGUUAGUGGAAGCGUCUGGAAAGGCGUGCGAUACAGGGUGACAGCCCCGUACACAAAAAUGCACAUAUUGUGAGCUCGAUGAGUAGGGCGGGACACGUGGUAUCCUGUCUGAAUAUGGGGGGACCAUCCUCCAAGGCUAAAUACUCCUGACUGACCGAUAGUGAACCAGUACCGUGAGGGAAAGGCGAAAAGAACCCCGGCGAGGGGAGUGAAAAAGAACCUGAAACCGUGUACGUACAAGCAGUGGGAGCCUCUUUAUGGGGUGACUGCGUACCUUUUGUAUAAUGGGUCAGCGACUUAUAUUCUGUAGCAAGGUUAACCGAAUAGGGGAGCCGAAGGGAAACCGAGUCUUAACUGGGCGUUAAGUUGCAGGGUAUAGACCCGAAACCCGGUGAUCUAGCCAUGGGCAGGUUGAAGGUUGGGUAACACUAACUGGAGGACCGAACCGACUAAUGUUGAAAAAUUAGCGGAUGACUUGUGGCUGGGGGUGAAAGGCCAAUCAAACCGGGAGAUAGCUGGUUCUCCCCGAAAGCUAUUUAGGUAGCGCCUCGUGAAUUCAUCUCCGGGGGUAGAGCACUGUUUCGGCAAGGGGGUCAUCCCGACUUACCAACCCGAUGCAAACUGCGAAUACCGGAGAAUGUUAUCACGGGAGACACACGGCGGGUGCUAACGUCCGUCGUGAAGAGGGAAACAACCCAGACCGCCAGCUAAGGUCCCAAAGUCAUGGUUAAGUGGGAAACGAUGUGGGAAGGCCCAGACAGCCAGGAUGUUGGCUUAGAAGCAGCCAUCAUUUAAAGAAAGCGUAAUAGCUCACUGGUCGAGUCGGCCUGCGCGGAAGAUGUAACGGGGCUAAACCAUGCACCGAAGCUGCGGCAGCGACACUAUGUGUUGUUGGGUAGGGGAGCGUUCUGUAAGCCUGUGAAGGUGGCCUGUGAGGGUUGCUGGAGGUAUCAGAAGUGCGAAUGCUGACAUAAGUAACGAUAAAGCGGGUGAAAAGCCCGCUCGCCGGAAGACCAAGGGUUCCUGUCCAACGUUAAUCGGGGCAGGGUGAGUCGACCCCUAAGGCGAGGCCGAAAGGCGUAGUCGAUGGGAAACAGGUUAAUAUUCCUGUACUUGGUGUUACUGCGAAGGGGGGACGGAGAAGGCUAUGUUGGCCGGGCGACGGUUGUCCCGGUUUAAGCGUGUAGGCUGGUUUUCCAGGCAAAUCCGGAAAACCAAGGCUGAGGCGUGAUGACGAGGCACUACGGUGCUGAAGCGACAAAUGCCCUGCUUCCAGGAAAAGCCUCUAAGCAUCAGGUAACAUCAAAUCGUACCCCAAACCGACACAGGUGGUCAGGUAGAGAAUACCAAGGCGCUUGAGAGAACUCGGGUGAAGGAACUAGGCAAAAUGGUGCCGUAACUUCGGGAGAAGGCACGCUGAUAUGUAGGUGAAGCGACUUGCUCGUGGAGCUGAAAUCAGUCGAAGAUACCAGCUGGCUGCAACUGUUUAUUAAAAACACAGCACUGUGCAAACACGAAAGUGGACGUAUACGGUGUGACGCCUGCCCGGUGCCGGAAGGUUAAUUGAUGGGGUUAGCGGUAACGCGAAGCUCUUGAUCGAAGCCCCGGUAAACGGCGGCCGUAACUAUAACGGUCCUAAGGUAGCGAAAUUCCUUGUCGGGUAAGUUCCGACCUGCACGAAUGGCGUAAUGAUGGCCAGGCUGUCUCCACCCGAGACUCAGUGAAAUUGAACUCGCUGUGAAGAUGCAGUGUACCCGCGGCAAGACGGAAAGACCCCGUGAACCUUUACUAUAGCUUGACACUGAACAUUGAGCCUUGAUGUGUAGGAUAGGUGGGAGGCUUUGAAGUGUGGACGCCAGUCUGCAUGGAGCCGACCUUGAAAUACCACCCUUUAAUGUUUGAUGUUCUAACGUUGGCCCGUAAUCCGGGUUGCGGACAGUGUCUGGUGGGUAGUUUGACUGGGGCGGUCUCCUCCUAAAGAGUAACGGAGGAGCACGAAGGUUGGCUAAUCCUGGUCGGACAUCAGGAGGUUAGUGCAAUGGCAUAAGCCAGCUUGACUGCGAGCGUGACGGCGCGAGCAGGUGCGAAAGCAGGUCAUAGUGAUCCGGUGGUUCUGAAUGGAAGGGCCAUCGCUCAACGGAUAAAAGGUACUCCGGGGAUAACAGGCUGAUACCGCCCAAGAGUUCAUAUCGACGGCGGUGUUUGGCACCUCGAUGUCGGCUCAUCACAUCCUGGGGCUGAAGUAGGUCCCAAGGGUAUGGCUGUUCGCCAUUUAAAGUGGUACGCGAGCUGGGUUUAGAACGUCGUGAGACAGUUCGGUCCCUAUCUGCCGUGGGCGCUGGAGAACUGAGGGGGGCUGCUCCUAGUACGAGAGGACCGGAGUGGACGCAUCACUGGUGUUCGGGUUGUCAUGCCAAUGGCACUGCCCGGUAGCUAAAUGCGGAAGAGAUAAGUGCUGAAAGCAUCUAAGCACGAAACUUGCCCCGAGAUGAGUUCUCCCUGACUCCUUGAGAGUCCUGAAGGAACGUUGAAGACGACGACGUUGAUAGGCCGGGUGUGUAAGCGCAGCGAUGCGUUGAGCUAACCGGUACUAAUGAACCGUGAGGCUUAACCUU